GUCCCCGUAGUUCAGUGGAUAGAAUUGGGGUUUCCUAAACCUUAGACACAUGUUCAACUCAUGUCGGGGACA
rnacentral:tRNA from 1 species